CUGUAAGCCUGUGAAGGUGUGCUGUGAGGCAUGCUGGAGGUAUCAGAAGUGCGAAUGCUGACAUAAGUAACGAUAAAGCGGGUGAAAAGCCCGCUCGCCGGAAGACCAAGGGUUCCUGUCCAACGUUAAUCGGGGCAGGGUGAGUCGACCCCUAAGGCGAGGCCGAAAGGCGUAGUCGAUGGGAAACAGGUUAAUAUUCCUGUACUUGGUGUUACUGCGAAGGGGGGACGGAGAAGGCUAUGUUGGCCGGGCGACGGUUGUCCCGGUUUAAGCGUGUAGGCUGGUUUUCCAGGCAAAUCCGGAAAAUCAAGGCUGAGGCGUGAUGACGAGGCACUACGGUGCUGAAGCAACAAAUGCCCUGCUUCCAGGAAAAGCCUCUAAGCAUCAGGUAACAUCAAAUCGUACCCCAAACCGACACAGGUGGUCAGGUAGAGAAUACCAAGGCGCUUGAGAGAACUCGGGUGAAGGAACUAGGCAAAAUGGUGCCGUAACUUCGGGAGAAGG
rnacentral:rRNA from 2 species